AACGAACGCUGGCGGCAUGCCUAACACAUGCAAGUCGAACGAGACCUUCUGGUCUCGUGGCUCACUGGUGCGUAACGCGUUGGAACCUGCCCUUAGGUUCGGAAUAACUCCCCGAAAGGGGUUCUAAUACCGGCUAAUGUCUUCGGACCAAAGAUUUAUCGCCUUUGGAUGGGCCCGCGUUGGAUUAGCUCGUUGGUAGGGUAAAAGCCUACCAAGGCGACGAUCCAUAGCUGGUCUGAGAGAAUGAUCAGCCACACUGGGACUGAGACACGGCCCAGACUCCUACGGGAGGAAGCAGUGGGGAAUAUUGGACAAGGGGCGAAAGCCUGAUCCAGAAAUGCCGCGUGAGUGAUGAAGGCCUUAGGGUUGUAAAGCUCUUUUACCCGGGAUGAUAAUGACAGUACCGGGAGAAUAAGCUCCGGCUAACUCCGUG
rnacentral:rRNA from 1 species